rnacentral:ribozyme from 12 species
UUUUUUUUUUUGUCGCCGUUUUUUUGUCGCAUUUUUUUUUCGCUCAUUGUGGAACAUCUCGAACAUGUGCGAAGGGGACGGUGUGAAGGUGCACGUGUGCAUAUACGAAAGGACACGAAAAGACA